CAGUAGGGAUCUUCCGCAUGGACGAAAGUCUGACGGAGCAACGCCGCGUGAGUGAAGAAGGUUUUCGGAUCGUAAAACUCUGUUGUUAAAGAAGAACAAGGAUGAGAGUAACUGCUCAUCCCCUGACGGUAUUUAACCAGAAAGCCACGGCUAACUACGUGCCAGCAGCCGCGGUAAUACGUAGGUGGCAAGCGUUGUCCGGAUUUAUUGGGCGUAAAGCGAGCGCAGGCGGUUCUUUAAGUCUGAUGUGAAAGCCCCCGGCUCAACCGGGGAGGGUCAUUGGAAACUGGAGAACUUGAGUGCAGAAGAGGAGAGUGGAAUUCCACGUGUAGCGGUGAAAUGCGUAGAUAUGUGGAGGAACACCAGUGGCGAAGGCGACUCUCUGGUCUGUAACUGACGCUGAGGCUCGAAAGCGUGGGGAGCAAACAGGAUUAGAUACCCUGGUAGUCCACGCCGUAAACGAUGAGUGCUAAGUGUUGGAGGGUUUCCGCCCUUCAGUGCUGCAGCUAACGCAUUAAGCACUCCGCCUGGGGAGUACGGCCGCAAGGCUGAAACUCAAAGGAAUUGACGGGGGCCC
rnacentral:rRNA from 1 species